AAAACCAUCAUUCACAGUAUCAAUGAAAAAGAUUGUCCGAAGCCUCCAAACAUUCCCAUGAUCAUGUUAGGGGUUUCCCUGGCUAUUCUUCUCAUCGGGGUUGUCCUACUGUGCAUCUGGAAGCUACUGGUGUCAUUUCAUGAUCGUAAAGAAGUUGCCAAAUUUGAAGCAGAACGAUCAAAAGCCAAGUGGCAAACGGGAACCAAUCCACUCUACAGAGGCUCCACAAGUACUUUUAAAAAUGUAACUUAUAAACACAGGGAAAAACAAAAGGUUGGUUUAAGAUAAUAAUAGGACAUUUGCAGAUAAGUCAUCCUCUACAUGAAGGUGAGAGACUGUUGGCAGGUUCAAAAU
rnacentral:sRNA from 1 species